CGACAGUGCGACACGCCGCUGCGCCACCUCCGGGCGGCCGCGCCAGUCCAACUCCACCACCACCGCUUCUCUCGCUUCUCCGGCGUCCCCCGCACUUCUCAGACGAAAACCUCGCUUCGUGUGCUUGCUUCCGGCCCGCAACGCCACCUUCCGCCGCGCCGCCACUUCUCCUGCCCGGGAGCUCGUCCUUGCACGAAGAAUCUCAGAUCUUCGGGCCGUCCUCCGCGUGAAACUCCGUUCCAAGCGUUGUGCCGUUUGUGCACCAGCGUCGCAGGAAGGAAUUUGAGGGAUUGCUUGGGGAACUCCUCUAGUUCGAGCGAGUUAUAUGAAGAGCGGAGUGCGUUGUUUCUCAAAUUAAAUUCCGUGCAAUUAGAUCUUGCCAUGGUUGGUUGUUCCACAAGGAAAUGGCACAUUUUGUGGAUAUAAGCUGCUGCGGAUGCGGUAUUUGGUCUGCUCCAGUAACCGUAAACGCGUCUGCGCGCUCUUUGCGGAUAAGAGCACAUGCUGUCUCUUUGGAUUAUCCCAGUAGGACUGAGCAGAAGAAUGAGACUAAGCUAGCGGUGGUACGACCAGACCGAAGAUUGCGGGAUGUUUUUGUCGAUGCAAGUGCAGACCAUGGAAGUGGCAGAGCAACUGCAGAUUUCAAGAAGGUUGUUCCAUCCUUGGAUGCUAACCCGAGAAGGCUGUUGAAUGAGCAACUAAAACCAAGAAGGCCCUUGGAUCAUAACUCGGACAAGGCGACAAAUGGGGCAUACUUUUCAAAGCAUAAAGCCGAGUGCUAUGCUGACAGCCUCCGCAGGCACUGCAACAAUGGGAAGCUCAUUCAAGCUUGCCGCGUCAUCGAUGAGAUGGUCUUACAUGGCCAGGUUCCAGAUUCAAAGUGCUGUGUUAGAUUAAUUCGUGGCCUUGUGAGAACUGGUAAGACAAACAAAGCUAGGCAUGUUCUUGAGGUCAUGGUGCUUUCAGGUGGGGUUCCUGACACCAUCACCUGCAACAUGUUGAUUGCACGACUUUGCUGUGAAGGGCAGCUGAGUUCUGCGAUGAAAGUAUUGGAGGAUAUGAGGUUUACUGGUUGCUCUCCUAGUGGCAUCACUUUCAAUACUUUGAUUAGGUGCAUGUGCAGCCAUCAUAUGUAUGACAGGGCAAUAUCCUUUUGGAAAGAGCAGCUAAAAUUAGGUUGGCCACCAUAUGAGAUGACAAGCACCUUACUUGUUGACCUUAUAUGCAAAAAAUGUGGUCCUAUGCGGGCUCUGGAAGUAUUAGAUGAACUUGGUUUGGAGGGAUGUCAACCAGAUGUUGUCAGCUACAACACUCUUAUCAGUGUGUCAUGCAAAGCAGGCUGUUUGAAGAAUGCAAAGUUGAUAUUAACUCAUCUUUCAGCUGAAGGCCUUGAGCCAAAUGGUACAACCUAUUGCAUCUUACUUCAUUCCCUUUGUGACAAGAGAAGAUGGUCUGAAGUGGGUGAUUUGCUUGCACACAUGAAGCAGGCAAAUCAUAAGCCUGAUGUUACUGCCUACAAUAUCUUUAUAAACUACUUUUGUAGGUAUGGAUAUCUGGAUCAGGCAAUUGAUGUUCUAGAGGUGAUGGUGAACGAGAAAUGCUUUCCUGAUAUAGUGACAUACAACACACUUCUGAAUGCCAUCUCUAAAAGGGGAAUGGUUGAAGAAGCUCUUGGGAUUUUUCAUUCCAUCAGAGAAAAUGGAUGCCAGGUAGUUCGCAUUACAUACAACACCCUCAUAGAUGCUUUAGCAAAGAAGGGUGAGGUUAUUAAUGCUAUGACUCUAUUCGAUGAAAUGACUGUUGAUGGGAUCAGUCCUGAUGAUGUCACUUAUGGUUCACUUGUUAUGGGUUUCUGUAAGAAGAACAUGGCCAAAGAAGCACUGGAGCUUUUGAAUCAGAUGCUUGCUCUCGGCUUUGAGGUUAAAGCAACUACAUUUUCCAUGAUGAUCCAAUCAUUGUGCAAAGGUUGUAACACUGAAGCUGCUGCUGAAAUACUAAGAGUAAUGGUAUCAAGAAAUGUCAACCACAGGAGUGCAUUUUAUCUGUCUAUAGUCACAAGGGUUGCCAAGUCAGGUCGGGUUAAAGAGGCUCAAAUUCUACACCAGGAGCUAGUACAGAGCAAGGUUCUUAAAGAGGCUUCCCAAUUUAUUUUGAGCAGCUAGUUGCUGGAUUGCAAGAUCCUCAUGUCAGAGUCAUGGAAGUGAUAGAACACACGAGUCAGCUGACAUAGCAGAUAAUUCCUGGAAGUUUUGCAGCACACAAUCUGCAUAAUGUCUUCGGUAAGGUCCAUAUUUUUGAAGAUGUUGGCCAGAACCAGACCAUGAUGCAUUUCUUGAUGGUUCAUGCCUUCAUGGCAUAGAGUGGAGGUCAUGCUCCGCAUUUCUUUUUGUCUCACCAGCAGCAGCAUUGUUCAGAUACCGAGGUUCCGUGCUAUAGUUCUGCAUGCCACUAAACAUGGUUAUUGGCUGAUGAUGGAUUGCAGAGUAAAUUCCCUGAAUGCCAUUAGAAUUUAUAUGGCUUCCCCCACUGCCAUCGAAGUUCUUUUUUAUGCUCGUUGAGCAACCUCAACUGAACCUUGAUUCUCUAAAUAAAGAUGGCCGCCUCCUGUGUUUCUAGAGGAUUGGCAGUCAGUGCUUCUUGCAAAACUGUAUAGGGUAGUCACUAGUCAGGUUGUCCUCGCGUUGUACCUAUAGCCUUCCUCCUAAAAUGUUAGAUCUUGCAAAUUGAUGCCCAAACAUCUGCCUUACCUGUCUCCACUGCACAAAUUUGUCAUAAAGAUCUGCUGCAAUUGCACCUCCGUGUCCAGAUUCA